UACGUAGGGACCAAGCGUUGUUCGGAUUUACUGGGCGUAAAGGGCGCGUAGGCGGCGUGGUAAGUCACUUGUGAAAUCUCUGAGCUUAACUCAGAACGGCCAAGUGAUACUGCUGUGCUCGAGUGUGGAAGGGGCAAUCGGAAUUCUUGGUGUAGCGGUGAAAUGCGUAGAUAUCAAGAGGAACACCUGAGGUGAAGACGGGUUGCUGGGCCAACACUGACGCUGAGGCGCGACAGCGUGGGGAGCAAACAGG
rnacentral:rRNA from 1 species